UACGUAGGGUGCGAGCGUUAAUCGGAAUUACUGGGCGUAAAGCGUGCGCAGGCGGUUCGUUAAGUCAGAUGUGAAAGCCCCGGGCUCAACCUGGGAACGGCAUUUGAAACUGGCGGGCUGGAGUGUGGCAGAGGGGGGUUGAAUUCCACGUGUAGCAGUGAAAUGCGUAGAGAUGUGGAGGAACACCGAUGGCGAAGGCAGCCCCCUGGGCCAACACUGACGCUCAGGCACGAAAGCGUGGGGAGCAAACAGG
rnacentral:rRNA from 1 species